GUGUCAGCAGCCGCGGUAAGACGAAGGUGGCAAGCGUUGUUCGGAUUCACUGGGCAUAAAGGGCGCGUAGGCGGUUCCGAAAGUGGCCUGUGAAAUCCCCCGGCUCAACCGGGGAAGUGCGGGCCAAACUUCGGUCCUUGAGGCUGGGAGGGGAGACUGGAACUCUCGGUGGAGCGGUGAAAUGCGUAGAUAUCGAGAGGAACACCGGUGGCGAAGGCGAGUCUCUGGUCCAGCUCUGACGCUGAGGCGCGAAAGCGUGGGUAGCAAACAGGAUUAGAUACCCUGGUAGUCCACGCCGUAAACGAUGAGCACUAGGUAGCGGCCGGAUCCAACCGGUCGCUGCUCAAGGAAAUCCAUUAAGUGCUCCGCCUGGGGAGUAUGGUCGCAAGGCUGAA
rnacentral:rRNA from 1 species